GUAUUUUUAUUAUUUUUUAAAUUAUUAUUUGACUUAUUAUUUUUAACUAUAAAUAAAAAUAAUUCAUACGGAAAUUCACGUAACUUUGUAGAUUUAAUGAUUUAAUAAUUUCAAAUGACGGAUGCACUUGUUCUUAUAUAUAUCAAGAUCAUGAGGAUUGUCAGCAUCAUUUGUUGAUAAACAUUCGUUACACAAUGAAGUUAUUAAAUAUUAAUUUUGCAGUUCUUUUAUUCAUUGGCCUGAUUGUGAGAAUAUUUAACUAAUUUUUGUCAAUUAAUUUACUAACUAUUGAUAAUUAUUUUAAAUUAGAUGGCUUUUUCAUCUGCACAAGAAGAAACAACAACAACAGCAACUGGUAUGGGUCCUUGUCGUCCCCAUGGACGUAGAGGUGGUCAUGGUGGACCACGAGGACGUGGACCACCACCACCACCAACACAGAAUGGUGGUGAUUCUACUCCAGAAGUCGAAGGUUCUUCUAAGUAAUUACUACUGAAACAUUUAUAAUAAAAAAAAUAAAUACACCAUAGAAUUUUG